rnacentral:sRNA from 1 species
GCCAGGCACAGUGGCACAUGCCUGUAAUCCCAGUGGCUCGGGAGGCUGAGACAGGAGGAUCACGAGUUCAAAGCCAGCCUCAGCAACCUUGAGGUGCUAAGCAACUCAGUAAGACCCUGUCUCUA